rfam:Ictidomys tridecemlineatus contig033809, whole genome shotgun sequence.
GGGAUUGUAGCUCAGUGGUAGAGCGCUUGCCUCACAUGCAUGAGGCCCCGGGUUCGAUCCUUAGCACCA